rnacentral:misc_RNA from 1 species
AAAAGUCGUAACAAGGUUUCCGUAGGUGAACCUGCGGAAGGAUCAUUAGUGAAUCUAGGAUGUCCAACUUAACUUGGAGUCCGAACUCUCACUUUCUAACCCUGUGCAUCUGUUAAAUUGGACUAGUAGCUCUUGGGAGUGAACCGCCAUUCACUUAUAAACACAAAGUCUAUGAAUGUAAACAAAUUUAUAACAAAACAAAACUUUCAACAACGGAUCUCUUGGCUCUCG